rnacentral:rRNA from 1 species
GUGUGUAGGCGGUUGUUUAAGUUUGGUGUGAAAUCUCCCGGCUCAACUGGGAGGGUGCGCCGAAUACUGAGCGACUAGAGUGCGGGAGAGGAAAGUGGAAUUCCUGGUGUAGCGGUGAAAUGCGUAGAUAUCAGGGGGAACGACCGGUGGUGUAGACGGCUUUCUGGACCGUAACUGACGCUGAGACACGAAAGCGUGGGUAGGCAAAACA